AUGAACGCUGGCGGCGUGCCUCAUACAUGCAAGUCGAGCGAACAGACGAGGAGCUUGCUCCUCUGACGUUAGCGGCGGACGGGUGAGUAACACGUGGAUAACCUACCUAUAAGACUGGGAUAACUUCGGGAAACCGGAGCUAAUACCGGAUAAUAUAUUGAACCGCAUGGUUCAAUAGUGAAAGACGGUUUUGCUGUCACUUAUAGAUGGAUCCGCGCCGCAUUAGCUAGUUGGUAAGGUAACGGCUUACCAAGGCAACGAUGCGUAGCCGACCUGAGAGGGUGAUCGGCCACACUGGAACUGAGACACGGUCCAGACUCCUAUGGGAGGCAGCAGUAGGGAAUCUUCCGCAAUGGGCGAAAGCCUGACGGAGCAACGCCGCGUGAGUGAUGAAGGUCUUCGGAUCGUAAAACUCUGUUAUUAGGGAAGAACAAAUGUGUAAGUAACUAUGCACGUCUUGACGGUACCUAAUCAGAAAGCCACGGCUAACUACGUG
rnacentral:rRNA from 1 species